rnacentral:tRNA from 1 species
UGGGGUGUGCCUCAGUGGUAGGGUGUAGUUAGUAAAGUGCUUGCCCUGGGUUUGAUACCCAGCACCUAAA